rnacentral:rRNA from 1 species
CCUACGUGCGGCUGCAGUGGGGAAUAUUGCACAAUGGGGGAAACCCUGAUGCAGCGACGCCGCGUGAGUGAAGAAGUAAUUCGUUAUGUAAAGCUCUAUCAGCAGGGAAGAAAAUGACGGUACCUGAGUAAGAAGCCCCGGCUAACUACGUGCCAGCAGCCGCGGUAAUACGUAGGGGGCAAGCGUUAUCCGGAUUUACUGGGUGUAAAGGGAGCGUAGACGGCAGUGCAAGUCUGGAGUGAAAGGCGGGGGCUCAACCCCCGGACUGCUCUUGGAACUGCAUGGCUGGAGUACAGGAGGGGCAGGCGGAAUUCCUAGUGUAGCGGUGAAAUGCGUAGAUAGUAGGAGGAACACCGGUGGCGAAGGCGGCCUGCUGGACUGUGACUGACGUUGAGGCCCGAAGGCGUGGGGAGCAAACAGGAUUAGAUACCCUAGUAGUC